AACGCUGGCGGCGUGCCUAAUACAUGCAAGUCGAGCGAGCUUGCCUAUAGAAGUUCUUCGGAAUGGAAAUAGAUACAAGCUAGCGGCGGAUGGGUGAGUAACGCGUGGGUAACCUGCCCUUAAGUCUGGGAUACCAUUUGGAAACAGAUGCUAAUACCGGAUAAAAGCUACUUUCGCAUGAAAGAAGUUUAAAAGGCGGCGUAAGCUGUCGCUAAAGGAUGGACCUGCGAUGCAUUAGCUAGUUGGUAAGGUAACGGCUUACCAAGGCGAUGAUGCAUAGCCGAGUUGAGAGACUGAUCGGCCACAUUGGGACUGAGACACGGCCCAAACUCCUACGGGAGGCAGCAGUAGGGAAUCUUCCACAAUGGACGAAAGUCUGAUGGAGCAACGCCGCGUGAGUGAAGAAGGUUUUCGGAUCGUAAAGCUCUGUUGUUGGUGAAGAAGGAUAGAGGUAGUAACUGGCCUUUAUUUGACGGUAAUCAACCAGAAAGUCACGGCUAACUA
rnacentral:rRNA from 1 species